rnacentral:rRNA from 1 species
UACAGAGGUGGCAAGCGUUGUUCGGAAUUACUGGGCGUAAAGGGCGCGUAGGUGGCCUUCUAAGUCAGACGUGAAAUCCCCCGGCUUAACCUGGGAACUGCGUCUGAUACUGGGAGGCUCGAGUAUGGGAGAGGGAUGUAGAAUUCCAGGUGUAGCGGUGAAAUGCGUAGAUAUCUGGAGGAAUACCGGUGGCGAAGGCGGCAUCCUGGACCAUUACUGACGCUGAGGCGCGAAAGCUAGGGGAGCAAACGGG